rnacentral:rRNA from 1 species
CUACGGGGCGCAGCAGUGGGGAAUAUUGCACAAUGGGCGCAAGCCUGAUGCAGCCAUGCCGCGUGUAUGAAGAAGGCCUUCGGGUUGUAAAGUACUUUCAGCGGGGAGGAAGGGAGUAAAGUUAAUACCUUUGCUCAUUGACGUUACCCGCAGAAGAAGCACCGGCUAACUCCGUGCCAGCAGCCGCGGUAAUACGGAGGGUGCAAGCGUUAAUCGGAAUUACUGGGCGUAAAGCGCACGCAGGCGGUUUGUUAAGUCAGAUGUGGAAUCCCCAGGCUCAACCUGGGAAGCGCAUCUGAUACUGGCCAGCUUUCUUCUCGUAGAGGGGGGUAGAAUUCCAGGUGUAGCGGUGAGAUGCGUAGAGAUCUGGAGGAAUGCCGGUGGCGAAGGCGGCCCCCUGGACGAAGACUGACGCUCAGGUGCGAAAGCGUGGGGAGCAAACAGGAUUAGAUACCCCGGUAGUC